GUAAGUCCCCGGCAGUGACAUUUCUGUAUUGUAAUAUUUAAAGCUGCUGAUAUAUUCCGUGCUGGAAAUUGCUGGAACUUCUCAGCAGUGUCCAGAGCGAUCGGCGGCGGCUGGCGAUUACGCUUUUUAUUGGUGCGCGACCAAGGGGGAAGAUAUUGCAAUAGAAAACAGCAAUAAUGUAGUUUCAAUGAGCCGUGGAGGUGCCACAGUUAAACGGCCUCGUGAAAUCUUCCAGGAGGUUAAAGGGAAACAGACCGACCUUGCUUUACUGAAAAGGUGACUCCAUUAUUUAAUGAGCACGCCAAACCUCUUUUCACUCUUCGUGCCUAUUACCGAUCCAGCCCUGAAAUCCUCAAGA